AACGAACGCUGGCGGCAGGCCUAACACAUGCAAGUCGAGCGAGCAUUUCGGUGCUAGCGGCGGACGGGGGAGUAACGCGUGGGAACGUGCCCUUUUCUGCGGAAUAGUCCUGGGAAACUGGGGGUAAUACCGCAUACGCCCUUUUGGGGAAAGAUUUAUCGGAGAAGGAUCGGCCCGCGUUGGAUUAGGUAGUUGGUGGGGUAAUGGCCCACCAAGCAGACGAUCCAUAGCUGGUUUGAGAGGAUGAUCAGCCACACUGGGACUGAGACACGGCCCAGACUCCUACGGGAGGCAGCAGUGGGGAAUCUUAGACAAUGGGGGCAACCCUGAUCUAGCCAUGCCGCGUGAGUGAUGAAGGCCUUAGGGUUGUAAAGCUCUUUCAGCUGGGAAGAUAAUGACGGUACCAGCAGAAGAAGCCCCGGCUAACUCCGUG
rnacentral:rRNA from 1 species